rnacentral:rRNA from 3 species
GUGGUAAUGCCGGAUGCUCCAGUUGAUCGCAUGGUCUUCUGGGAAAGCUUUCGCGGUAUGGGAUGGGGUCGCGUCCUAUCAGCUUGACGGCGGGGUAACGGCCCACCGUGGCUUCGACGGGUAGCCGGCCUGAGAGGGCGACCGGCCACAUUGGGACUGAGAUACGGCCCAGACUCCUACGGGAGGCAGCAGUGGGGAAUAUUGCACAAUGGGCGCAAGCCUGAUGCAGCGACGCCGCGUGAGGGAUGGAGGCCUUCGGGUUGUAAACCUCUUUUAUCGGGGAGCAAGCGAGAGUGAGUUUACCCGUUGAAUAAGCACCGGCUAACUACGUGCCAGCAGCCGCGGUAAUACGUAGGGUGCAAGCGUUAUCCGGAAUUAUUGGGCGUAAAGGGCUCGUAGGCGGUUCGUCGCGUCCGGUGUGAAAGUCCAUCGCUUAACGGUGGAUCCGCGCCGGGUACGGGCGGGCUUGAGUGCGGUAGGGGAGACUGGAAUUCCCGGUGUAACGGUGGAAUGUGUAGAUAUC